rnacentral:lncRNA from 1 species
CACCAAAUUCCCCACCACCGCCACACUCACAGCCCCCGCCUCCACCACCAGUUUAUUCUUCACCACCGCCUCCUGUCAAUUCUCCACCUCCCCCAUAUCACUCUCCUCCACCUCCCCCAUAUCACUCUCCUCCACCUCCAUCACCCCCACCUUGUAUAGAACCGCCUCCACCUCCACCACCAUGUGUAGAGUAUUCACCCCCCCCACCCCCUCAAUCGCCCCCCCCACCUUCUCCACCAUCACCAGUGUAUUCUCCUCCACCGCCUCCUACUCCACCUCCCCCACAAUCAUCACCGCCACCACCACCAUCCCUGUCUCCCCCGCCGCCUCCUACACCACCCCCACCAUCUCCGUUACCUCCAUGUGUACGUUCCCCACCACCGCCUCCACCAAAUUCACCACCACCUCCAUCACCAAUAUUCUCCCCACCACCACCUAUUCCUUACUAUUAUAACUCCCCACCACCCCCAUCACCUCCACAUUCGCCUCCACCUCCACAUUCGCCUCCACCACCAGUUUAUCCUUACUUAUCACCUCCACCACCACCUCCUGUCAAUUCUCCACCUCCCCCAGUUUAUUCAUCACCGCCUCCACCCCCACCUUGUAUAGAACCGCCUCCACCUCCACCUCCACCAUGUAUAGAGUAUUCACCACCUCCACCCCCACCUUCAUCGUCACCGCCUCCUCCUAUACAUUAUAAGCCACCACCAUCACCAUCCCCAC